CCUACGGGCGGCAGCAGUGAGGAAUAUUGGUCAAUGGGCGCGAGCCUGAACCAGCCAAGUAGCGUGAAGGAUGACUGCCCUACGGGUUGUAAACUUCUUUUAUAAAGGAAUAAAGUGAGGCACGUGUGCCUUUUUGUAUGUACUUUAUGAAUAAGGAUCGGCUAACUCCGUGCCAGCAGCCGCGGUAAUACGGAGGAUCCGAGCGUUAUCCGGAUUUAUUGGGUUUAAAGGGUGCGUAGGUGGUUAAUUAAGUCAGCGGUGAAAGUUUGUGGCUCAACCAUAAAAUUGCCGUUGAAACUGGCGUUCUUGAGUGGAAGAGAAGUAUGCGGAAUGCGUGGUGUAGCGGUGAAAUGCAUAGAUAUCACGCAGAACCCCGAUUGCGAAGGCAGCAUGCCGGCUUCCGACUGACGCUGAAGCACGAAAGCGUGGGGAUCGAACAGGAUUAGAUACCCGUGUAGUC
rnacentral:rRNA from 1 species